GAUGAACGCUAGCGGCAGGCCUAACACAUGCAAGUCGAGGGGUAGAAGGAGCUUGCUCCUUUGAGACCGGCGCACGGGUGCGUAACGCGUAUGCAAUCUACCUUGUACAGGGGAAUAGCCCAGAGAAAUUUGGAUUAAUGCCCCAUAGUAUAUAACCUUCGCAUGUUGGUUAUAUUAAAGUUCCAACGGUACAAGAUGAGCAUGCGUCCCAUUAGUUAGUUGGUAAGGUAACGGCUUACCAAGACGAUGAUGGGUAGGGGUCCUGAGAGGGAGAUCCCCCACACUGGUACUGAGACACGGACCAGACUCCUACGGGAGGCAGCAGUGAGGAAUAGUGAGCAAUGGUCGCAAGACUGAACCAGCCAUGCCGCGUGCAGGAAGACGGUCCUAGGGAUUGUAAACUGCUUUUAUACAGGAAGAAACCCUCCCACGUGUGGGAGCUUGACGGUACUGUAGGAAUAAGGAUCGGCUAACUCCGUG
rnacentral:rRNA from 1 species